rnacentral:rRNA from 1 species
UGGGACGAGAAGACCCUAUAGAAUUUAAUAUAAUUUUUGAAUUUAUUUAAGGAAAUAAAUUUUAUUUUAAUAAUUAUAUUUUAUUGGGAGGAUAAUUAAAUAGAAUAAACUUUAAUUUUAAGAUAAUUUAAACAUUAAUUAAUGAAAUUUUUAUUGAAGAUUGAUUAUUAAAUUAGAAAGAAAAUUUAUAAUAAUUAUUAUAAAAAUUAAUUACCUUAGGGAUAACAGCGUAAUAUUUUUAGAAAGAUCAUAUUGAUAAGAGUGAUUGCGACCUCGAUGU